rnacentral:rRNA from 1 species
UACGUAGGGGGCGAGCGUUAUCCGGAAUUAUUGGGCGUAAAGCGCACGCAGGCGGUCCUGCACGUGGAGGGUGAUAGCUUCUGGCUUAACCAGGAGAGCGCCUUCCAAACGAGAGGACCUGAGAGCGAGAGAGGGAGACGGAACUCCAGGUGGAGCAGUGAAAUGCGUAGAGAUCUGGAAGAACACCAAUGGCGAAGGCAGUCUCCUGGCUCGUCUCUGACGCUCAGGUGCGAAAGCGAGGGGAGCAAACAGG